CAGUGCAGCCACCCAUAAAGUAGAAAGCACUACUAGACAGCACUGAACGCUGUAGUGUUUCCUACUUUAUGGAUGAGUGUACUGG
rfam:Xenopus laevis strain J chromosome 2S, whole genome shotgun sequence.